rnacentral:rRNA from 1 species
AACACAUGCAAGUCGAGCGAUAACCAUGGCUUCGGCCAUGGGGAGAGCGGCGAACGGGUGAGUAACACGUGAGCGAUCUGCCCUCGACACUGGGAUAGCCCGGGGAAACCCGGAUUAAUACCGGAUGGCCUCUCGAGCCCACGGGCUCGUCAGAAAAGAUGGCUUCGGCUUUCGGUCGAGGAGGAGCUUGCGGCGGAUUAGCUUGUUGGUGGGGUAACGGCUCACCAAGGCGACGAUCCGUAGCUGGUCUGAGAGGACGAUCAGCCACACUGGGACUGAGACACGGCCCAGACUCCUACGGGAGGCAGCAGUGGGGAAUCUUGCGCAAUGGGCGAAAGCCUGACGCAGCGACGCCGCGUGAGGGAAGAAGGCCUUCGGGUUGUAAACCUCUUUCAGGAGGGACGAAGCUACUCGGGUUAAUACCCCAGAGGGUGACGGUACCUCCAGAAGAAGCCCCGGCUAACUACGUGCCAGCAGCCGCGGUAAUACGUAGGGGGCAAGCGUUGUCCGGAAUCAUUGGGCGUAAAGAGCGUGUAGGCGGCCAGCUAAGUCCGCUGUGAAAUCUCGAGGCUCAACUUCGAGCUGUCGGUGGAAACUGUCUGGCUAGAGUCCGGAAGAGGAGA